UUGGGUCGUGUUAUAAAUGCUCUGGCUAAACCUAUUGAUGGGAGGGGCAAAAUUGUAGCUUCCAAAUCUCGCUUAAUUGUAUCUCCUUCUCCAAGUAGAAUUUCUAGGCGUUCCGUAUAUGAACCUCUUGAAACAUGGCUUAUUUCUAUCGAUUCGAUGAUCCCUAUAGGGCGCUGUCAGUGAGAGUUCAUUAUUGGGGAUAGACAAACUGGCAAAACAGCAGUAGCCACAGAUACAAUUCUAAAGAAAAAAGGGCAAGAUGUAAGAAGAACGAGAGUGAGCCUUCACGAAAGAAAAUGCAAGUGA
rnacentral:rRNA from 1 species